rnacentral:lncRNA from 1 species
GUAGUGAAUAAGCUUAAUUGUGGGGUUCAAGGAAAAAAGCUGUGUCUACACACAUUUGUCAUAAUGUGUUUUUAGGAUCCUGUCAAGAAGACAUGGUAAACCUCAUCAUGAUCAAGAAUGAGACUUUGCUUGCAUCCAGGCAUUCAGUUAAGAAAUGAUGUUUUCCCAACCAAGGCUAGCUUCCCAAAAGUUGUUUGAUAGUAUACAGGCAUGAGAUGGUGUGACUCUAACUCAUUAGAUGCCUUCGUCUUUUCAGUCAUCAUGUGAUGGAAAGAAAGCUAUCAACUUCAUUCCUGAGACUUCCUGCAACACAGCUUAGUAUGUCUAGCAUGGGCAUGCCUGCUGAAGUUUGGAACUUCCCAUCAAGGAAACAGGAAAAUGCCAUUGGCAAUGAGCUGAAGACUGAUUUACUCUACCAGUUUGGAACAUCUGUUAUUGCUGCUACUACGGUUUCUAUCACUGUUUGAUGCUGGGACUCUUAAGCUCCAACCACGUUUUCACCGAGCUGAGUCGCCUUCUUAUCACCCCUUUCUGGAGCAGCAGGACAUCUGGGGAUGAGAAGAUGGAGAGAUCAUCCUUAUAUAAUGUUGCAGUCUGGAAGCAUCACUCUCAAAAAGGUUUUGAUAGACUAGAAAAAUGACAAGACUCCAAGUCCUUGAAGAGGAGGAAAAGUGUGAAGAAAACAAAAAAGGGAGAUUUAUGUCUGCUUCACCAUUUUGCCCAAGACUUGACCUGUCAUACACUGAAGCUCAGAGAGGAAGAAAGGACCGUGUGAGAGAAGAAGGGAACAGCCUUUCAUCCAUAGGAGAAGUUCGUCUAUGACAAAGCCACUAGCUCCAUGUGGCCGCUGAGCACUCAAAAUGUGGCCAGUCUGAAUUGAGAUAUGUUGUUAGUAUAAAGUCCACAUCGGCUUUUUGAGCACUUUGUAUGAGAAAAAAGAAUACCAAAUAUCUCCUUAAUAAUUGUUACAUUGAUUAUAUGUUGAACUGAUAACAUUAUGGAUAUAUUGGAUUAAAUAAAAUAAAUUAUUAAAAUCAAAUAAAAAAUAAAAUCAAUUUCACCUGUUU